rnacentral:lncRNA from 1 species
UUUUGCACCAUCAGUUCCACCUUAUGCUGCAUCACCUGUGCCGGCGCCAUCAGCAUACUCUUACCCCCCACAAGCGGCCAACUCCCCUUACCCUCCACCAUCCAGCUACCCUUACCCUCCACCAUCCUCAGCAUCCCCGUACCCUCCACCAUCGUCAGCAUCCCUGUACCCUCCACCAUCAUCAGCAUCGCUGUACCCUCCACCAUCUUCAGCAGCUCCUUACCCACCGCCCUACUCUAAUCAAUCUUAUUAUUCAAAUCAACAUGAUUCUGCUUCUUAUCCAGGCAGUACAUAUCCACCCCUUCAUUUAAGUGCAUAUCCUCCUCAACCAUAUCCGCCUUCUGU